rnacentral:tRNA from 2 species
UAAAUUUUAGUUUAAUUUAAAACAUAAUAUUUACAAUAUUAAAAUAUAUUUAUUAUAUAAAUUUUA